AUGAAAAUCAGAAAUUCCUCUUGUGCCCCAGGCAAGCCUUUCAGAGAAGAACUUUGUAACCCCACAGAGGAAGAAAACAAGAGAAACAACAGACAGGUUACAGAAACUGAAGAAAAAGACAGUUCUAACUGCACGUUGUAUGUGCAUGAACUUAUGGAGAACACAUCAUGGCUUCCGGGGCAGCAAAUACUGACCCAACACUGCUCGGGAACAAGAGACAAGAAUAGAGCUAAUCUUGUAAGGAAUUUACUCUUUGUCCAGGAAAACUGGUAA
rnacentral:lncRNA from 1 species